AUUGAACGCUGGCGGCAGGCCUAACACAUGCAAGUCGAGCGGAUGAAGGGAGCUUGCUCCUGGAUUCAGCGGCGGACGGGUGAGUAAUGCCUAGGAAUCUGCCUGGUAGUGGGGGAUAACGUCCGGAAACGGGCGCUAAUACCGCAUACGUCCUGAGGGAGAAAGUGGGGGAUCUUCGGACCUCACGCUAUCAGAUGAGCCUAGGUCGGAUUAGCUAGUUGGUGGGGUAAAGGCCUACCAAGGCGACGAUCCGUAACUGGUCUGAGAGGAUGAUCAGUCACACUGGAACUGAGGCACGGUCCAGACUCCUACGGGAGGCAGCAGUGGGGAAUAUUGGACAAUGGGCGAAAGCCUGAUCCAGCCAUGCCGCGUGUGUGAAGAAGGUCUUCGGAUUGUAAAGCACUUUAAGUUGGGAGGAAGGGCAGUAAGUUAAUACCUUGCUGUUUUGACGUUACCAACAGAAUAAGCACCGGCUAACUUCG
rnacentral:rRNA from 1 species